GAAAGUAGAAAAACAAGAAAAA
rnacentral:sRNA from 1 species